AGUCCUGCAUUCUCUCUCAGGGAGUCCAGAACUCUGCUGCUCACCAAGCUGGAAGGAAGAAGUGGAACCUGGAACAGGAUUCUUCCUGGUGAGAGUUGAGAAGGGCAGCCCCUCCUGACUGAGAACUCAGGCUGUGACUCUGGCUCCCACUCCCAGAGCUUCUGAGAAGAUGGCUUGACAGCCUGUUUGGAGUUCCUGUGCUAUCGACCAGGUACGGGCAGAGUAAAUACUUUAAGGAAGAUCUCCUUUCCAGGCAUCCUCUUGGCCUCUAAACAGUGAUUCUUUUCACUUCUUUAUGACUUGACCAACUCCAGGUUCCCAGUCGCCAGUAUGCAUAGGAGCCCAUCACGGGGAAACGCGAUAAUUUGUUGACCUGCCUGUGGGAUUCUCCUCAUGCCGUCUGUAGCAAUUAUAUUUGGCUUCUUCAUUUGUCUAUAUUCCAUAUCUGAUUCACAAACAAAUUUUGACUCAACCUUGAAAAACAUAUCUAAAACCUAUUCCUUCUUGAAAGAAAAACCCGUUUCUUCUAUAACUGGAAUGCCAGAGUGGUUUGCUUCCUGUCACAGAUUCCAACGAGACGGGAAUUUAAUCUUUAAAGUUGUGUUUUAUGGGGUUCAAGAGGAGACUCAGCUGCUAAGAGCACCUGCUGGGUUUGCUAAGGACUGGAAUUAGUUCUCAGCACCCUCAUUGGGUGGCUCACAACUACCUAUAACUAUGGUUCCAGGGCUCUGACUCCUUCUUCUGGUCUCCAUGGAUAUUGCAUAUGUGGGCACAGAACCCUCCACCCCCUCCCCACAUAUACAUACACAUAAAUUUUUAAAAAUGCUUUAAAACUGUACUAAUUAUUUAGAGAGCUGACAAUCUGAGAAGAUAGUGGAUCAACACCCUAAGUUCAGUCCUGCAGCAAACGCCAAAUACGAUUCAGCAGCUGCAGUCCCAUCCUGAAGAAUCCGCAAGGCUCACCAACCUGCCCGUGGCCGCUGAAGCGGGGGAACCUCAUGAACUGUUCUUCGGCAGCGGUGUGUUGGCCCCUUCGCAUGAUGAAACUGAGGAGCCAGGGAAUUAGGAGCUGAACUCCACUGAGGUGUUCAGAAGUCUGUGCACGCCGCCUCCCUGGAAAGCACCCAGCACUCCCUGCUGUUCCCAGAUCCUGUUGUCUCCUUAUCAAUCCCUGAGGCCAGCAGGACAAACCGAGGUAUGGUAUUAUAAAUGCGGGCUCGAGGUCACUGAGGGUCACAGAGUCCACAGCAAAGGGGAAUCAGAAACCACAAUGGUCUGCCCUACUCUCACACUGCAAAUGCUCAUGACUACGUAAGCACAGGAAGAGUUCAAGGAUCGUCCCUACAGAGAUCCUCCCUCAUCAGCUCAUCUGUCUGACCCUCUGUGCCCCUGGACAUUAUCAGCUGGGAGUGUGGAAGAUUCUAGAGAAGGCGCCAUCCCUCAGUGGUGUUUCCACAGUUCAAUAAACAACUGAUUCUUCCACUAUUGCCAUGGCCAUCUCCACUUCUUAACUCCAUGCCUACUUUCUCCCUUAAGAAAACAAAUAGGCAAGUAAAAGACAAACAAGGAAGGAUAAGCAGCAGAGAAACUAAGAAGGAGCAUGAGACACGCACGCACUUCCUUGUCUGGGCGCUGGGACUCUGGCUCGAACCUGUACAGGUUCUCCAGGACUUUUAUCACGAAGAGAUGCUGGAUUUUAUCAAAGACACAAAGGGGAAUGGUCCAGAUCCACAAGCUUGUCAAAAACAACAGAGGUAUAAGGUCAUAGAAUUCAUGUCCACCUUGCAGUCUGCUUCUCACCCACUGCCCUUUGGAAAGCCAAUUCCUUCCUCCUGUUCACGUGCUGUUGGUACUCUAUGUUCUGCCUGCCUUCCAAGAGUUCAUAGAGUUUGUUCACAGAGUGUUUACCCUGUGUUGUCUCAGCUGCUGAGAAAUGGUGUCUUCUGCACCAGGGGCCGAAACACCACCUUUGUAGUACUUUUCUUCUCAGCUCUGAGUUUUGUGGAGAUCAGACUUCCUUCCUGAUCCUCAUUUGCCUUUCAACAAGAAGCCUUCACUCAUUUAUUGAUCCACUUACUUUGUACAGACAGUUGUUCAUCAGAGCAUGUUAGGAACCAGGCCCAAGACCCCGACAGACACUAGAAUCUGAGGAACCUCAAGUUUCUUAUACAAAAUGACACAGUAUUUGCAUAUAAUCUAUGCAUAUCCCCUUGGGCACCUUAAUUUUUACUUUUUGGCUUUUUUUAUUGGGUAUUUAUUUCAUUUACAUUUCCAAUGCUAUCCCAAAAGUCCCCCACACGCUCCCUACCCACUGCCCCCCCUCCCACUUCUUGGCCCUGUCGUUCCCCUGUACUGAGGCAUAUAAAGUUUGCACGACUAAUGGGCCUCUCUUUCCACUGAUGGCCGACUAGACCAUUUUCUGAUUCAUAUGCAGCUAGAGACACGAGCUCCAGGGGGGUACUGGUUAGUUCAUAUUGCUGUUCCACCUAUAGGAUUGUAGAUCCCUUUAGCUCCUUGGGUAUUUUCUCUAGCUCCUCCAUUGGGGGCACUUUUUGGCUUUUUGAAUACAGACUUGCAAUGUAGCUCAGGCUGGCCUUGAACUCUUCAUCCUCUGGCUCAGCUUCCUAAGUACUGGUGUGAAUAACCAGUGUGAAUCAUUAUACCUAACCUUCCUCCUGUGUAAUAAAUAAAGUUUACAUUAUUUAUCAUACCUAAUACCAUGUAAAUGGUAGAUAAACAAUCUUGGUGAUAUAUUGAUUAGGGGCUAAUGACAAGAAAAAAAGUUUGAACUUGUUAAAUAAAGAUGCAGUUAAACU
rnacentral:lncRNA from 1 species